GAGGAAUAUUGGUCAAUGGGCGCGAGCCUGAACCAGCCAAGUAGCGUGCAGGAUGACGGCCCUAUGGGUUGUAAACUGCUUUUGUAUGGGGAUAAAGUCAAUCACGUGUGAUUGUUUGCAGGUACCAUACGAAUAAGGACCGGCUAAUUCCGUGCCAGCAGCCGCGGUAAUACGGAAGGUCCGGGCGUUAUCCGGAUUUAUUGGGUUUAAAGGGAGCGUAGGCUGGAGAUUAAGUGUGUUGUGAAAUGUAGACGCUCAACGUCUGACUUGCAGCGCAUACUGGUUUCCUUGAGUACGCACAACGUUGGCGGAAUUCGUCGUGUAGCGGUGAAAUGCUUAGAUAUGACGAAGAACUCCGAUUGCGAAGGCAGCUGACGGGAGCGCAACUGACGCUGAAGCUCGAAGGUGCGGGUAUCGAACAGGAUUAGAUACCCUGGUAGUCCGCACAGUAAACGAUGGAUGCCCGCUGUUGGUACUUGGUAUCAGCGGCUAAGCGAAAGCAUUAAGCAUCCCACCUGGGGAGUACGCCGGCAACGGUG
rnacentral:rRNA from 1 species